rnacentral:tRNA from 1 species
ACUUGAAUAGCUUAUUUUUAGAGCAUAGUACUGAAGAUACUAAGGAGAUAUUUAUAUCUUUGGGUA